rnacentral:lncRNA from 1 species
GUCGUGGUUGUAAAUAAUGGCCGCUCCCAAGCUCCUCGCUGGGUUGAUGCCGGUGCCCGUGAUCGGAAUGGUGGCUAAGUGAACUAAGAACACUGCAAAUCCGAUGGGUAAUGGUGCCAAUAUCUGUUCCAUAAAUUAACAAUUUUUCUUUUAGACUAACUUCUAGAAUUUCUUUACGCUUUUCACCUAAAAGUAACUUUCAAAAAGACAGACUCCCUGUUUUUUCAACUCACCGGAACAUGUGAAUCUCUGGCGCUACGUUUAGCAUCAGUGGCGGAGAAGACGGUGUAAACAAGGAUGAAAGUACCCACGAUCUCAGCGCCAAGGCCAUCCCCUUUGGUGUAUCCCUUGGCCACCAUGUUAGCUCCGCCGCCAAGGGCGUCGUAGGGCUUGGGUUGGAACCCUUUCACCACGCCGGCACCGCAGAUGGCACCAAGGCACUGCAUCACUAUGUAGAAAACGGCCCUAGUCAAGGACAGCUUCCUCGCCAGAAACAGCCCGAAAGUCACCGCCGGGUUAAUGUGGCCACCGGAAAUUCCAGCAGUACAGUAAACCAAAGCAAAAAUCAUACCGCCGAAAGCCCAAGCAAUCCCCUGAAUUCCGACGGUCUUACACGUGUUCCCCUCAAUACUCUUGGACCGGACGACACCCAUGACGGUCAAAACGGUGAUGUAGAGGAAGAGGAAAGUAGCGAAAAACUCGGCAAUUCCAGCUCUGUAAAAGGACCACGAAGUGAGCUCCUCCGGCUCAAACAAAGGCGCCGGUGGUGGCUCCUUGUAGUCCUUAGCGUCAUCUUGACUCUGUGCCGCCGUUCCAAUGGGCUGUCUCUCGUUGAACUUGUUAGCUCCAAGUCUAACAUCUUCCUCCUUCCCUUCCAUUCCGGAAAAACGUGUGUGUUUGUGAGAGCAGUUGAGAGCGGAAGAGGGCGGUUGUGUAUGUAGUAGAGUAGUAGUGAGGAAAGUGAAGAGAAGGAGUAGGUUAUAUAGCAAUGUAGAGUGAAUUUAGUGAAAAACCAAAGGGACCCAGGCAGUUAAAAAGAAAGAAAAAUAAAAAUAGAGAAAACCGACCAAUGAUUUUUGUAGAAUUUUCUGGAGAAUAGGUGGAAAAUGACAGAAGGGGCGGUCGGGUUGGCGUACAAUUAUUGGGGCACGUGGCGAAAGAUUAGCCACAAAGGAGAGGUAGAGAGUGGAGAAUGGGAGUCAGGCGCCCACCGUCCAUGUGGACCAGAUGGUGAAGUGAUUGUGAUAAGUUCAGGAUUUGUAUUUUAAUUUUUAAGGGGUAAUAGAGGAAAUGGAGGGGUUGGACAUCCACGUGGAGGUUACGUGAUUGGUUUGCCUGGAUAUGUUUGUGGACAAAACAAUGUCGCAGCGCUGUACAAAUAUCAUCUUUACUUCCUCCUUCCAUUAUCAAUAUAUAUAACUAUCUAUUUUUCCACCUUUUUCUUUCUUUCUACUCUUUAAUUCCUAUUUUCAUCUUUAUUUCACUCUUUACUUUUAUUUACAAAUAUUUCCAAAUUAUAACAUUAUUCCAUUUUACUACAAAUUUCUCUAUUUCAUCUUUCUUUUAAACAUAGCAUCCUUCCACCUAAUCAAAUGAAAUAUGUGCACUUUAACUUUUCUUUUUUUUUUCUUCCUCUUUAAAUUCAUCUCCAUCUCUACUACAUUCAUCCCUCUUAUCUAUCUAUAUAUUCAUAAACAACAAGUUAAGUUAUUAUUUGAGUUUGGCUUUUCAAGUUUUUCCUUCAAAAUUAUCCCACCAACUUUCAAAUAUAACCUCAUGUACACAAAAUUGUAUAUGGCAAGAUGGAAUAAUAAAAAUGACCACGUUUUCUUAUAAGAUAUCCAUAUAUCUUAUCAAUCACUCUAUUACAAAAAAAAAAAGUCCAAUAGAGAGUUGAGAGAAAUUAGAUAUAUGAUGAGAACAUAAUUAAGCACUACAAAUAAAGGUAUAGUAAACUCUUACAUCAUGACAUAAACUUAACCUAAAAUACUAGAUUUAAUAUAUAUUAGAUACUCUAACAUGAGGAUAUUAAUAAAUCCAUCAACUCCUUUACUUCACACUAUGGAUAAAGUUUAAUUCCUGUCAUUUUAAAUGUAUUCUUAAAUAUGAAGAUGACUUUGCACAAACUUACACAAAAUUAAAAGCAACGAAAAUGACUCAUACAUAGGUUAGUUUCUGUACCAUCUUAAUUUCUCUGAGGAAAAAGAAAAAAAUUUAAUUAUUUUUCUCAAUCUGUUUUUUUUUUUUUAAAAAAAAAAGAAAUUGAAGAUGAAAAAUUGCUUCCUUUGUAAUAAUAUAUAUUUUGUUUUAUAAUUCUCUAGCUUUUAUGUACUAACACUAUUUUUCGAAAUAUUUUUUCAUCCACUUGUUUUUUUCUUGCCAAUUGUUUAAAUUUAUAUCAUUGUUAUUGUUUAUAAAAAUAGUGUUUGUGAAAAGGGAGUUUUAGAAGUCACAUCCAAAUAAUACAUGCCUCUACUACAGCAUAACUCAUAUUUCAUAAGACAAUAUUAUUUUAUAAUAAUUAAUUAUGACCUUUUUUAUUUUUGGGUAAUGAAUACAGCAGAGCACAGAUAUUUUAAACAUACAAUUAUGUACAAAUAUGAAUACCAAAUUCUAUUGACUUUUAUAAUCUCUAUUGGGAGGUUACUUAAUAAUGUUAGUUAUUAAUAAAUUUAGGAUUUAUGAUCAUAAUCGUAAAUCCUAAAUCUAAGUCUAGUCUAAGUUCAAUCAAGUUAUCUUUGGGUUUUAAAUUGGCCUACCUACCCUAGUUUUCAAUUACCAAAAAAGGAAUAAUAAUUGUGUCAAAUUCACUAACAAAAUCUUGCAAUAUCAAGGGCUACAUUUACUUUGAUGUAUAGCACAUACUUUGACGACGAUAGUCUCUAUAAAUAUAGUUUCAUUUAUCCAUCACGUUGUUGUCUAGUAAUAAUAUUCUAAGUGCACUUUACUAUAAGAAUUUUCUCUUUUACCCACGAAAAUAAACGUUGGCUAAAGUCGUAAUAAUGUCAAAAUAAGUUAUGCCAACAAAAAUUCUUAUGUCCGUAAAAUCGUCAUUGUAUCCAUGUUGGGAGAAGUAAUUAUUGACCAUAAAUUCCUUUUUACAACGCACUAUCUUGCAUAUGUCGGCAUAUAAGUUUUUCAAACAAAAUAUAUAUUUUUUCCUUUAGAAUAACUGUACUUCCAAUCGAGGUAUCAAUGUUUUUUCGUCUGCAUAAGUUGUUUGCAAUUUUAUAUAUAAAUUGUACUAUACUAACUAAUCAAAUUUUUAAUAAUACCUAAUGAUGCACAAAGAAUAAUUAAUCAACCAUCAAAACAAUUGAAGAACAAAUAUAACAAAAAUAAGCUAUUGUAUGUUAAAAAUAAAAUUAAUAUUUAAUAUUUGUUAAGUCACACAGUUACGUUAUUCGAGGAUGGCUAAGUUUUCACAAAUAUUCUAUACCAAAAAAAAAAAGUUUAUCAUUAUUCCUUAAGCCAAAAUAAGUGAGAGGCUACACCAAACUAAAUGAUCAUAUCAAAACCUUUUUACAAUCUCAUUUCUAACCUUUCACAAAUCCGAUCCUAGGCAAGAAAAGAAAAAUAAAAAAAAUUGUCAUUUCUCGAACCAAAAUGUUACACCACCAAAAUAAGUAAUCAACUCAAAAUCUUGAUGCAAUCUCCAAAAAAACGAUAUUCAAGAAUUCAAAUGUAUAAUUUAAAAUAGGAAAUACAAUAAGAAAUGACAAAGUGACAAAGUGACAACAAGUGGCAAAGUGACGAACACACAAUUUAAAACUACAAAGUAAUUAGCAAAAAAAUUAUAUAAAGUGACAAAGUAAAAUCCCCCUCUUAAAUCCCAAUUUAAUUGUUUCAUGAGUAAACCACAUCUUCAAUGAUCCUAAAAGCAUAAAACACAACUAUCAAACCCCUAUAAAUACACGAGAACGAAAUUCUCAAAGUAUGGAAGUGAAAUUUCAAAAACCCUCAACAAAACCUAACAAGUUCUCUCUCUCUCUCUUUUUUUUAAUAGUAUUAUGUUUUUGAAUUGUUGAAAGAGAAUUACUUGAAUUGUGGUUAAUUUAGAAACGAUGGUUAGGCCGAUCAUAAUUAACUUUUGUUAUCAACCACACAUGACCUUUAAUAUUUUAAUUAAUGUUAAAAAGAGUAUUUAUUAUGAUGUAAAUUAGUGAGGUAAACGACAAAUAUAUUGGUUGGGUUGGGUUGCAGCCGCCAGCUGAUUUGUGCCCAUCUAAUAUCUAUUAUUCGAUUUUACUUAAUAUAUAACUCUCACAGCUUUCUCUCUCUUUAUAUAUAUGUAUAUGAACAGCACAUUUUGUUUGUUAUUAGGUUAACAUUAGGGUUUUGAAGUUCUUACAUAUAACAUUAAUUUCUUUGCACCCCAGUAGUCAAUAUGUUUUUGGAACUUCAAAAACUGUGAAAUAAACUUUUUUUUUCAUAUAAAUUGAAAGAUAUUAAUCAAACAUUAGUUUAUGAUCAUAUAUAUACCACUUUGUGUACAGCUUGUUUUGAUUGGGCAAAUAUUACAAAUUCGUAUUUUGGUCAAUACAAAGAGGAAAGAAAAGAGUAAUGAAUGCAAUCAUAUUUGAGCCAAAAAUGAUUCAUUCAUUCAUUAUCUAACAAACAAACUCACAUCGAUUCAUGUGUUGGAGGUUUUGAAAUAAACAUUAAAUAUACAAUUGGUCCCCCAUAGGCCAUACCAAAACAAAAAUCAACAAAUAUCAUACAUAAUACAAAGUAUAUAGUCAUUCUCAAUUUAAAUCUUUUAAUCUUCCAUUUCAAUUCUAACUAUGAAACAAACCCUCUUUCUACUUGGUAAAAUAUAGAAAAGAAAGAGAGGUAGAGGUAAAGUACAAUAAUCUCGAUACACUUAAAAAAAAUUUGCUUGUAUUGAUUUUUGAAUUGUUUAAUUUUUAAAACAAUUCAUUUUAAGAUAAACUAACUUUUAGAAAAUUGAGAUUCCGAAAUAAAUCAUUUUAAAGAAUACACGUGUAACCAAAUUUUAGAAUAAAUGUUUAUUUGAUAUUGAACCAGAAUUUUUCCAAAAUAUAUUUUUUUUUCCUCUAUUUUUUUACUUGGUCGUUUUUUUUUUGUUUUUUAAUUAUUUUUAAAUACUUUAAAUAUUUUUUCAAUGUGUGUUCAUAUGCAUUUAAAUAUAUGAAUUUGCAAAUAUUCCUCUUUCAGCUAAAUCUACUUCGUCUUGAUAUGUUUGAAAAAAAUUAUAAGAACGUCAAUAUAUGAAAAACAUGAUCGUUCGAUUCGUGAAAUGAAAAUGAAUGAAGAAUGUGAUCAAAUUGCACGUCUUUUUGUCUAGUUGAUAUUAUAUUGUCUCGAAAAAAUUAUUGAUCUUAAUUAUAUUUUGUUGAUGGAAAUCGAUAAUUGUUUUAUGGUUAUCGUGUAUUUACAUUUCAAGAUAUUUGUGUUUCUAAAAUUGAAUUGUCCAAAAAUAUUAAUACAAAAAAUAUAAUAAUGUUUUUUUAAGUAACUAAAAAUAAUUUCAAGAUAACGUGCUAUUAUUUUUUAAAUAUCUUUAUGAAAAAAAUAUUCAAAAUAUGUGUAUUUCUUUAUGAAAUUAGUUUGUAACGAUUAAUAGUAUGACAAACCAAACACAAUUGUACAUAAAAAGUAAAUGAAGUUUAUUUUGAGUGACUUUGUUAAAUUUGGAUGAUAUAUAUACAAUCAAACUUCAUUCAUCAUGUUUGUAAAUUUUAAGCAUUAUUAUGAAAGAUUAAAACCCCCAUUUUAUGGACAAAAGUUUUAACAUCGCCCAUCUCGAACACAAAUCUAUCAACACUUAAUUCAUUAAAUUAACACUUCAUUAGAUACAAAAGAUGCCAAAACAAAAGAGUUGCAAUAAUAUAAUAAGCAUUUUGCAUAGAGAGAGAUCUAAAAUUAAAACCUUGACCUAAUUUAAAAUUUAGGAAUUUAGGUUUUAAUCUUUUUAUUAACGAUGAUGAAUAAUGUUCACUUGGACUUGAAAGGAAUGGCUCUAAUCACGACUUGAUGAUAUAAAGCUGCCAAUGCUGCUCCGAUGAACGGUCCAACCCAGAAUAUCCACUGCCAAACACAUUAUAUAUAUAUAAUUAAUUCACUAUUUCAUAUUCAUUUUUAAUUCCCUCAGGAUUCAAAUCAAUUAACAAACUCACAUGAUCAUCCCACGCUUUGUCCUUGUUGAAGAUGAUGGCCGCUCCCAAACUCCGAGCCGGGUUGAUGCCGGUGCCCGUGAUCGGGAUUGUUGCCAAGUGGACUAAGAACACUGCAAACCCAAUUGGUAGCGGCGCCAAUAUCUGUUCCAAUAACAUUUUUUUUUUACUUCUCAUAAACAAUCUAUAACUCUAUAUAUAUAGUUUGUUAUAUUAGAAACAACGUCUUAAUUUUACUCACCGGAACAUGUGAGUCUCUGGCGCUACGUUUAGCAUCAGUGGCGGAGAAGACGGUGUAAACAAGGAUGAAAGUACCCACGAUCUCAGCGCCAAGGCCAUCCCCUUUGGUGUAACCGUCGCUCACAACGUUAGCUCCACCCCCGAGCCUUUCAUAGGGCUUGGGUUGGAACCCCUUCACCACUCCCGCGCCGCAGAUGGCACCAAGGCAUUGCAUCACAAUGUAGAAAAUCGCCCUAGUCAACGACAAUUUCCUCGCUAGAAACAACCCAAAAGUGACCGCCGGGUUAAUGUGGCCACCAGAGAUUCCAGCAGUACAGUAAACGAGAGCAAAAAUCAUACCACCGAAAGCCCAAGCAAUGCCCUGAAUCCCGACGGUGUUACAGGUAUUACCAUCCGCUUCCUUGGACCGGGUGACACCCAUGACGGUCAAAACGGUGAUGUAAAGGAAGAGAAAAGUAGCGAAAAACUCGGCGAUUCCAGCUCUGUAAAAAGACCAUGAAGUGAGCUCCUCCGGCUCGAAGAGAGGAGCCGGUGGUGGCUCCUUGUAGUCCUUGGCAUCGUCUUGGCUCUGGGCCGCCGUCCCAAUGGGCUGCCUCUCGGUGAACCUGUUAGCUCCCAAUCGAACAUCUUCUUCCUUAGCCUCCAUUAAAAUUGGGAUUAGUGUGUGUGUUUGUAAUGAGUUAUGAGAAUUGAAGAAUUGAAGAAUGAAGAAGAAGAAGAAGAUGUAGAGAGUAUAUAUACCAAAUAUUUAGAACGUGCGAUUUGGAGAAGACGACAAUGGGCCCAUAACCAUUUUAUUUAUUAUUUUAAUUCAACAAUAGUCGGUUUGGGCGGGGAAAUGGGAUUGGGCCACGUUUCAGAAUUUAUUAGAUGAAUAAGACCUAUGUGUGUUUGUGUAUGAAGAAGUAGAAUGCGGCUUCCGGUGACCCACAUUUAAUAAUGGUGGGGACGGAGGGUGGCGCAACAAAUUCAAUUUACAAAGCCUAAUAAUACAUCCUAUAUCAAUUAUUAUAUGGAUGUAUGUAUAUAUUUUGAAUUUUAAUGUAAUGACUAAGCCAGGAACAAUUUGAUUUACAUACUAAUUACUUAAAUCUUUUAAAUACUUCAAAAUAUAAGAAUCCAACCCAAAUAACAUUCAAUUAAUUUCAUCAUUAAAUUACAAAAAAAUAAUUAUAAAUGUUUAGAGUAUAAAUCUCAAAACUUAGUUUGAGUAUUCUCCGGUUAAAAAAAAGAGUAAUAUGUACAUAAAGUAGAUCUCGAUCUUAAUGCAUAAAAAUCUACAAACACUUCAAAAUUCUCAAUAAAUAAAAUAAUAAAAUCAUAACACAAUCGUGCAAAAGUAAGACUGAGAUGCACAAUCAUUUGUCAUUUUGUUCAAAGUUUUAAUAUAUAAUUUCAAAAUUGUGCCUAUUAUCUUUCCAAAAUUUAUCUCUUCUUCCCAACCCCUCAUCAAACCAAAAAUUUACCACCCCACUUUUAUUUUUUAAUCUUCACUUAAUUUUUACAAUUUUUCAUUAAGGCACUAAAUCUAAUUUUCAUUUCCUUUUAAAGUGAAUAUGAAGAGUUUUAACGUAAGAAAAAAAAAAACAUUAACUUUGAACCUUUUUCAAUUUACAUAACAAACACAAAAACUAAAUGGUCACUAUGAUAUGUAUUUUUCAUUGCCUAUAAAUAAAUUUUCAUGUGUGAGAGACUCAUUUCCAAACAAAUUCAUCCUCUUCAUGAUUUCAAUAAUAAUUGUGUAAAAAUGUUUGAUUUCAAAUACGAUUCAAUUUUAUGAUUUGAUUUCUUUCUAUAGAUUAAUUUUAAAUUUUAAAUAAAUUAUUGUACCGAAAAAUUAUAUUUGUGUAGUAAUUAUUGUUGUUUUAAAUGCAUCAAAGUUAUCCAGAUAUUAGGAUGCUUUUUUAGCAAAUGGAAUCUAGGUAUCUUAUGAGUUUUUCUUUUGGCAUCUCCAAUUUAUUUAUGAUAACAAAACGUGAUUAUGAUUUUAUUCAAAUAUAUCAAAAAAUCUCUCUUAAUCUUAGGAGAUUAUAUAUGUAUAGUUUUAUGCAUUAUUAAUCGCAAAAUAAAUCAUAAUUAUUUUAACAUUAUGUUUAUUAUUAAUGGUUUUUCACAUUUAUUUUAUCUUUAACAAAAGAAAGUCAAGUGAUUGAGAAUUAUUGUCCUUUAAAUAUUUAAAAGAGAAACUUUAAACUUGCAUCUAAUAAUGAUAAUUAGUUUUUCUUACUUAAACUUAAAAUAAUAUUUACAACAUUAACUAAAAAUUAAACAUGUUUAAUCACUAUUUAUGGUUUAACUAAACAUGGUUUAAACCCUAAACCCUAAACAUGGUUUAAUUUUCAAAACCAAUCACUAUUUAUAAAAGCUUAAAACAAUCGUGCAAAACAAAAUAAAAUAGAUGUUCGGUAUGGAGUUUAAAACUUUUUCAUUCAAGAACAUCUAUGUCAAAAUUGUACUACACGUUAAAACUUAUAGUCAAAGGAGAAGGAACAUAUCGAUGAAUUGAGUCCCACAACAGACUUCAAAAUUUGAAAAUAUCCAAUAAAAUUUUUUUAUGUCUAAUAUGAUAUAGAGAACUGAGAAAUGAUAAGAUGAAAACGCAAAAUAUUGAGAUAUACAUAGUAAAAUAAACAAAAUGUUAGAUAAUAAAAUAACUAAAAUGUUAUAAAUAAAACAAAAGAAAAUUAGACGUAUAAAAUUUCUCCAAAGCUUCUUUAGCUUUGCACCAAUACUCAUAUUUUUCAAAAUUCAACCAAACGUCAUUAUUUAUAAGCAAUUUUGCAAGUAGAAGGUGAAAUUGCAUGAACACUUAUAAUGUGUAAAUAUGAGACACAUGAAUAACAUGAAAAAUGACACAUCGGUUGAUGAGAGAUGAACAAUUAGUCUUUGGGACACUAAGCUUGGGCAUUUACACAUUACAUUUAGAUUGUAAUAUAUUUAUAAUACUUCUCUUUAGGUCCCCAUUAUAUUGUAUAUAAAUUUAAAUAUGCAUCGUUAAAAUUUAAAAUCCCAAUGAGAAAAUGAAAACCUACCACAAUAAGAUGAAUACAUAUUUCAUAUAAUCUAAUACUCGUAAAAAAUAAAAAUAAAAAUAAAAUACAUUUGUUCCUACUUCAUUGAAGUUUUGCUUGAGAUCUUAAAUCGUCUCAUUCCAAUGUUGCACUAGUUUUUUAAAGUUUGAAGUUUAUCGACAGAAUCGUUGAAAAUGACAGCCAGAGAUUGGCCAACAACAAUCAUCGGAGGUGGUGUCCAAAAGUAAUUAGUUUAACAAAAUUUCUAAAUUAAAUUAGAAAAAAAGAAGUAAUCUAUAAACUUACUCUUCAAACUUGAUAGGAGUGUGGAUAUGAAGCCAAGAGUUGGAAAGCACUUGUACCAAACAUCAAAUAAAAAGGUGGACGUGUUGAUGUUUGAUAUCAACUAGGGUCGAUAUACACUAUUUGAUAGCACCAUUUUAAUUGUCAACGUAUUAAAAGUUUUUCACUAAAAUCAUAAGAAAGGAGGAGAUGUCUUAUAGAAUAAAAUCAAAAUCAAAAUAUAAUCCUAUGAAAAAUAGAAUUUAGUAAUGAAUUUAUUUAUUUAAAAAAGAAAAUAGAGAAUAGUUUGAUUUUGAGGAUGAUAUAUGGUUGUAAAUUUAGUGUGAUGAGGUGGCAGUGGUAUGCAUCAUUGGGAUUCCUUUUUGUAAAUAAUUAAAGACAACUGUGUCCUCAUUCCUCAAAUUCUCCCCUCGUCUCUUCUCAAAUUUCAAUAAUGCACAUUUCAAUAAUGCACCCUUACCCUUACCAAAAUCCAGUAUCUCCAAACUUCAAAAUCAAUAAACAUAAAAAAGGAAGCAAAAAAUGUUUAAUACAUUUAUAAAUAUAAAAUGGGGUGAUAACUGAUAUCUACUCAACAAACUAAUUGUUUAUACAAUUAAAUACGCUGUAGCAAUUUUUGAGUUUGAAAAAAGCAAAAAUUCUUAAUCACCUAAUAAUAAUAAUAAUAACAACAACAACAAUGCAUUAGAAGAGAAAGAAGAGGUUGUUUAUUGAUUAGUUAAUGAUAGGAUAAGGUUAGAUUAAUUAAUAUUAAAAGUAAACCAAAUGAUGAAUACGUUACAAAAAUGAAAAUGAGUUUAAAUUAUAAAAAAAAAUAAAAAUUGACAUAAGAUUCCAAAUUGUGGUAAUGCGACAACCUUCUUCUUCUUCUUCUUCUUCUUCUUCUUAUUACUUAUUAGGUUCCAACCGCCUAUUGUGUUUCAGCCAUAUAUUUGAUUAAAAACAUGACCUGGCAUUCACAUGAUGGUGGCACCUCUCCCCCCAAUCCCCCUUUUAUUUUUUCCUUUCUCUUUUUAUGUUUCUAUAUUAAAUUACAUUAUUAUUUAUUGCAUACCUUUUUCUAAUCUAUUUAAUUCCUUUAUAUAUAUAUUUAUAUAAAACAACAAAUUCUUUCUGUUUCAUCAUAAAACUAUUUCUUACAUAAUUAAAUAUUAAAUUAUAUAAGAAUUAAAGCAAGUUUUUGUUUGGGUUUUACUUUUUUAUUUUGGUGUGUCAAUUAUUAAUUAUCAAACUUCCCAUUCCUAGUUUUACAAAAAUCUCAUUUGCCCUUUUUAAACCAAAUAUCUCAAAAAUAGUAAAAUAUUGAAUUUAUUUAUAGAACACAGAAAAUUUUACUGUGUAAAUAGUUUUAUAUUUUUUAUUUAUAAUAAUUUUUUAAUUAGUUAAUUUUGUCUUAUUUUUUUAAAAUUAAAUUCAAACUUUUGUUGUUGUAAUUUUUAUGGACGAGAGUAAGUUUAUUUCAACAGACAUUAAAAGUUAAAAAGUUUUACUCCUCAUCUUCAUACUUGCAACAAAAGAACUAUUUUUUUUUAAUCUCAAUUUGUAAAAUUUUAAUAGUAUUUUUAUAAUAGAAAAGAGUUUAAAAUAAAAAUUAAAGAACUGAAUGGCAAAUUGAGCAAAAUAUUUAUAAAUAAUUUGAAAAUAUGGAGAUCAAAUUGAAUCAUUUAUAACAAUAGAACUUGAUUGAAAAUUCUUAAAUUGCAUAAACAAAAAAUAACCAACAGACUAAUAUUUCAUUUUUUUUUUCUUUUUCCAAAAAUGGGUGAAUAAUAAGUGCUCUUCAAUUUAGACCAUAUUAGUUGUAGUAUUACUUAUACUCUGUAGGUGGAAAAUAGAUUUGUUAUUUGAGUAGUAUUUUUAGUAUAACAAAAUUAUAAAAAUGAGAGAUGAUAAUUAAUACAUUUUUUAAAACCUAUUUACUAUUUAAUUUGUAGUUGGGUUUUUACCUACCUAUUUUGUUUUUUAUAUCAAUUUGGUGAACCCAUAUAUCAUUUUCAGUGAAUGCACAUAUUUACACUUGUACGAAGACGACAAUAAUGGUCUCUCGAAAAAAUUAUUAAUCGAUCGUAUAUAUUCCUAUUGAUCAUGUUUAAUUUGAUCAUAUUGAAAGAGCAAAAAGAAAAAUCCCAUUUUAUUAACGAUGGAAGAAUUUACACAAAUCAACAACACUUCACUCCAUUAAAUUAACACUUGAUUUUCAUACAAAAAGAUGCAUGACAUCUUAUACAAAUUCAUAAAAUUCAAACAUUGGAUUGAAAAUUCUUCUAUGUAAUUCACUUGGACUUGAAGGGAAUGGCUCUAAUCACGACUUGAUGAUAUAAAGCUGCCAAUGCUGCUCCGAUGAAUGGUCCAACCCAGAAUAUCCACUGCCAAACACAAUAUAUAUAUAAUUAAUUAAUUCACUAUUUCAUAUUCAUUUUUAAUUCCCUCAGAUUCAAAUCAAUUAACAAACUCACAUGAUCAUCCCACGCUUUGUCCUUGUUGAAGAUGAUGGCCGCUCCCAAACUCCGAGCUGGGUUGAUGCCGGUGCCCGUGAUUGGAAUUGUUGCCAAGUGGACUAAGAACACUGCAAACCCAAUUGGUAGCGGCGCCAAUAUCUGUUCCAAUAACAUUUGUUUUUUACUUCUCAUAAACAAUCUAUAACUCUAUAUAUAUAGUUUGUUAUAUUAGAAACAACGUCUUAAUUUUACUCACCGGAACGUGUGAGUCUCUGGCGCUACGUUUAGCAUCAGUGGCGGAGAAGACGGUGUAAACAAGGAUGAAAGUACCCACGAUCUCAGCGCCAAGGCCAUCCCUUUGGUGUAACCGUCGCUCACAACGUUAGCUCCACCCCCGAGCCUUUCAUAGGGCUUGGGUUGGAACCCCUUCACCACUCCCGCGCCGCAGAUGGCACCAAGGCAUUGCAUCACAAUGUAGAAAAUCGCCCUAGUCAACGACAAUUUCCUCGCCAGAAACAACCCAAAAGUGACCGCCGGGUUAAUGUGGCCACCAGAGAUUCCAGCAGUACAGUAAACGAGAGCAAAAAUCAUACCACCGAAAGCCCAAGCAAUGCCCUGAAUCCCGACGGUGUUACAGGUAUUACCAUCCGCUUCCUUGGACCGGGUGACACCCAUGACGGUCAAAACGGUGAUGUAAAGGAAGAGAAAAGUAGCGAAAAACUCGGCGAUUCCAGCUCUGUAAAAAGACCAUGAAGUGAGCUCCUCUGGCUCAAAGAGAGGAGCCGGUGGUGGCUCCUUGUAGUCCUUGGCAUCGUCUUGGCUCUGCGCUGCCGUCCCAAUGGGCUGCCUCUC